rnacentral:rRNA from 1 species
GACUUAGCGGCGAUGGGUGAGUAACACGUACUCAACGUACCUCUUAGAUUGGGAUAGCGAACGGAAACGUUCGAUAAUACCAAAUACUUAUUAGUUUCGCAUGAAACUUAUAUAAAAGGAGCCCUUAAAGCUCCGCUGAGAGAUCGGGGUGCGCAACAUUAGCUAGUUGGUGAGGUAACGGCCCACCAAGGCGAUGAUGUUUAGCGGGGUUGAGAGACUGAACCGCCACACUGGGACUGAGAUACGGCCCAGACUCCUACGGGAGGCAGCAGUAGGGAAUAUUCCACAAUGAGCGAAAGCUUGAUGGAGCGACACAGCGUGCAGGAUGAAGGUCCUAUGGAUUGUAAACUGCUGUGGUAAGGGAAGAAAAAGUCAUAGAGGAAAUGCUAUGACAUUGACGGUACCUUAUUAGAAAGCAACGGCUAACUAUGUGCCAGCAGCCGCGGUAAUACAUAGGUUGCAAGCGUUAUCCGGAAUUAUUGGGCGUAAAGCGUCUGUAGGUUGUUUGUUAAGUCUGGCGUCAAAUUUUGGGGCUCAACCCCAAACCGCGUUGGAUACUGGCAAACUAGAGUUGUGUAGAGGUUAGCGGAAUUCCUUGUGAAGCGGUGAAAUGCGUAGAUAUAAGGAAGAACACCAUUUUGGCGAAGGCGGCUAACUGGGCAUAUACUGACACUGAGAGACGAAAGCGUGGGGAGCAAACAGGAUUAGAUACCCUGGUAGUCCACGCCCUAAACGAUGAUCAUUAGCUGAUGGAGAAUUCGUCGGCGCAGCUAACGCAUUAAAUGAUCCGCCUGAGUAGUACGUUCGCAAGAAUAAAACUUAAAGGAAUUGACGGGGAUCCGCACAAGCGGUGGAGCAUGUGGUUUAAUUUGAAGAUACGCGUAGAACCUUACCCACUCUUGACAUCUUCUGCAAAGCUAUAGAGAU